CAGCUAUUCCAUUUUCUCCUCUCCUUUUUUCCUUCUCCUUCUUCAUCAAGUUAUAAUAAAGUGUGAAUGUGACUCUCAUAUUCCCUUUCCUUAUUUCCGUAAUCUUGACCAAAUGUAAAUGGAGUAAUUUUUUAUGAAGAAAUAAAACAGGUUAUUGGUUUUUUCAUCAAAGGAGGAGUCAAUGUCUUUUUCUUACUACAUAUAUAACUGAAAUAUGCGUGGUCCACUUUAAAAACUGUUAAAAUGCCUUCAUUGCAUGAUAUCCAACCGUUAUUCAUUCACAUUAUCUCCCUCACUUGGCUUUCCUCCAAACGUCACCUAAAACCAAAUUAACACCCCCCCACCCCCCACCCCCACCCACGCAUAAAAAAAAUCUCCUUACUUUCUUCUUAUCUGUAAAAAAUUCAAAGAUUACAGCAAUUUUUUUGGUAGUACCACUACUAUAAAAGCAGCCUCUUGUUUUAUAUUUAUUGCAUUAACAACAUCACUCAAAUUCCUUUUUAGUCUUUGUCACCCUUGUAUGAUUUUGCUUUACUUUCUUGGGUGGUUUUAAUUAAUCAAGAAGAAAAUGAUGGGAUUUGAGAGAUUGAUGGUGAAUUUGAAGACGAAACUGAGGAGGUCCUUUAAAAUGAAGGAAUCAUACGACAAGAUUGAGAAGAGUGAAAGCAUGAGAGUGGAGAUUAGGAGCAAGAAGGCUCGUAAGCUUAUUGAACAGACUCUUAAAAUUGCUGAUUCCCCCAAAUCCCGAAGCUAUCCUUUCUAGUAAUCUGUUUAGUAUCUUGUAAUGACAAAAUUAAUCCCAACUUUCAUAAGAA